GUGUGCUCUUCCGAUCUGAUAAAUCUAAGAAAGUAGUGCUGCUGUAAAGGAAGGUCUUUGAUGAACACCUUUAUAACUAUAUAGCGGAUUUGAAAGUCGAGAUGCUACCUAAAGACAAAACAGACGCCCUGGAUGUAGCAGUGACCAGAAUACUUAAGAAUCGGGCCUUACCUGACUUCCUUAAGGUUAGGAAAAUUCCCAACCCUGCGUUCUGCAGGCUUUUCGCUUAUGCAAAAACACAUAAUGCACUAGUAGCAUUUAGACCUAUAGUAGAGAAAAUAAGAUCACCAAUGUACAAUUUAGAAAAGAAGGUGGCUUCCUGGAUUAACCUGAAAUCCCGAAGGAUAUCAGUACACAGUGCCCUCCUCCAUAGAAUUUUUAAAUAGG
rnacentral:lncRNA from 1 species